UAAGAUCAACCCUGUAAAAUAUUAAUAACUCUAUCGAUGUUUUUACGAUCCUUGUAAUUUAAUCUGAUUUACCUUUACUUACUUACCACUUAUUAUUCAAUGUUUAUUGUAGUAAACAUAUUAAAUGUAAUAUUCCAUGUAAACACCGGGAUUUACCGUUCCUUAUAGCUAUAAAGUCUAAGCACAUACAGUUUUGUUUCAGUUCAGCUUAGAUUCUCCAGUUUGAAUUUUGUAUUUAAAUAUAUAAUAAUAUAGAAAAUGUUUUCUAUCAAAAGCUUUGUUGCUUUGUGCCUCUUGUUGUGUGUUUUGGUUAUGCAAACACGUGCCUUAACUGUUAUUUGCGAUUAUACAAGCGACUGCGACUCUCAGUGUAAAAAUGCUGGAUAUAGUGGCGCAGACCUCGAUGACUGUUCCAUAGAUUUUGGAACUCAGCAAUAUUCUUGUUCCUGCAAAUAAGAUUUUAUAUAUUUUAUAUAAUAUGAAUUAAGUAAAUAUUUAUACUAAGUAAAAGCCUGCAGGUAUUUAAAUUAAAUAUUGAUCUAUGUAAUUUAAUAUAUUAUAUUUUAUGCCAAAUAAAAAAUAUUUUUAAUUUCACAAAAAUAA